rnacentral:rRNA from 1 species
GACCUCGGAUCAGGUAGGGAUACCCGCUGAACUUAAGCAUAUCAAUAAGCGGAGGAAAAGAAACCAACAGGGAUUGCCUCAGUAACGGCGAGUGAAGCGGCAACAGCUCAAAUUUGAAAUCUGGCCUUCGGGUCCGAGUUGUAAUUUGCAGAGGAUGCUUCGAGCAUGGUCUAGUCUAAGUUCCUUGGAAUAGGACGUCAUAGAGGGUGAGAAUCCCGUAUGCGACUGGGUGCCUAAGCUCAUGUGAAGCUCCUUCGACGAGUCGAGUUGUUUGGGAAUGCAGCUCAAAAUGGGUGGUAAAUUUCAUCUAAAGCCAAAUAUUGGCCAGAGACCGAUAGCGCACAAGUAGAGUGAUCGAAAGAUGAAAAGCACUUUGGAAAGAGAGUUAAAUAGCACGUGAAAUUGUUGAAAGGGAAGCGC